rnacentral:rRNA from 1 species
GACGAACGCUGGCGGCGUGCUUAACACAUGCAAGUCGAACGGUGAAGCGCCUUCUUUCUUGGUGGGUGGGGGCGAGCGGCGAACUGGUGCGUAACACGUUAGUAACCCACCCCCUGCUUCUGGAUAACCGCAUGAAAGAGUGGCUAAUAUGGGAUAUUCUGGGUCUGUCGCAUGAUGGGUCUGGGAAAGAUAUUUUUUCGGUGUGGGAUGGGCUCGCGGCCUAUCAGCUUGUUGGUGGGGUGAUGGCCUACCAAGGCGGUGAGGGGUAGCCGGCCUGAGAGGGUGAGCGGGCAUACGAGGACGGAGACACGGCAGGGGCUCCUGAGGGAGGCAGCAGUGCGGCAUAAGGCAGCAUGGGGGAAAGUCUGAUGAAGGGACGCGGCGUGAGUGAUGGAGUCCUGCGGGUUGGAAACCUCUUUCGGCAAUGAAGCAGGCUUGCCUUGUGUGAGAGUGAGUUGACGGUAGCUGGAGAAGAAGCGCCGGCUAACUACGUG